rnacentral:rRNA from 1 species
GGAUGCGAUCAUACCAACACUAACGCGGCGGACAUCAUCAGAACUCCGAAGUUAAGUGUGCUUGGGCGAGAGUAGUACUGGGAUGGGUGACCCCCUAGGAAGUCCUCGUGUAGCAUCUC